rnacentral:rRNA from 1 species
GCAUAUCAAUAAGCGGAGGAAAAGAAACCAACAGGGAUUGCCUCAGUAACGGCGAGUGAAGCGGCAACAGCUCAAAUUUGAAAUCUGGCGCCUCCGGCGUCCGAGUUGUAAUUUGUAGAGGAUGCUAUUGGGUUGCCACCGGUCUAAGUUCCUUGGAACAGGACGUCACAGAGGGUGAGAAUCCCGUAUGUGACCGGCCAGGCGCCCUCCGUAUAGCUCCUUCGACGAGUCGGGUUGUUUGGGAAUGCAGCCCUAAAUGGGAGGUAAAUUUCUUCUAAAGCUAAAUACCGGCCAGAGACCGAUAGCGCACAAGUAGAGUGAUCGAAAGAUGAAAAGCACUUUGGAAAGAGAGUUAAAAAGCACGUGAAAUUGUUGAAAGGGAAGCGCUUGCAAUCAGUCUCGACGGCGGCUGUUCGGCCUCUCUUCUGAGUGGUUUAUUCAGUCGCCGCCGGGCCAGCAUCAGUUUCGGCGGUCGGACAAAGGCGCGGGGAAUGUAGCUCCCUCGGGAGUGUUAUAGCCCCGCGUGCAAUACGGCCCGCCGGGACUGAGGUCCGCGCUCCGGCUAGGAUGCUGGCGAAAUGGUUGUAAGCGGCCCGUCUUGAAACACGGACCAAGGAGUCUAACAUCUACGCGAGUGUUUGGGUGUCAAACCCGUGCGCGCAAUGAAAGUGAACGGAGGUGGGAACCGCAAGGUGCACCAUCGACCGAUCCUGAUGUCUUCGGAUGGAUUUGAGUAAGAGCGUAGCUGUUGGGACCCGAAAGAUGGUGAACUAUGCCUGAAUAGGGUGAAGCCAGAGGAAACUCUGGUGGAGGCUCGCAGCGGUUCUGACGUGCAAAUCGAUCGUCAAAUUUGGGUAUAGGGGCGAAAGACUAAUCGAACCAUCUAGUAGCUGGUUCUGC